rnacentral:rRNA from 1 species
CUUUUGARUUUAAUUUAAGGUCUUGCCUGCCCAAUGAUUAAUAUUUAAUGGCCGCGGUAUUUUGACCGUGCAAAGGUAGCAUAAUCAUUUGUUUUUUAAUUGAAAGCUGGAAUGAAAGGUUUAAUGAAAAAAUUACUGUCUCUAUUUAAUUUAUNNAAUUUUAUUUUUAAGUUAAAAAGCUUAAUUUGAUUUUGAAGACGAGAAGACCCUAUAGAGUUUAAUAAUUUUUUAGGUUAAGAAAUUUAGUAUUAAUUUUAUUUAAUUUAAAUAAUUAUUUAAUUGGGGUGAUUAAAAAAUUUAAUUAACUUUUUUUUAAGAUUAACACUUAUAAGUGAUAACUUGAUCCUUUUAUAAAGAUUAUWAGAUUAAAUUACCUUAGGGAUAACAGCGUAAUUUUUUUUUAGAGUUCAAAUCAAAAAAAAAGAUUGCVACCUCGAUGUUGGAUUAAAAUUUAUAUUUGGUGUAGUAGCUAAG